AGGUCGUGAUAUUUGCAAUAUGGAGAAGAAUAAUCAAAUUGCACUUGUCCCGGCCUGC
rnacentral:pre_miRNA from 1 species